rnacentral:rRNA from 1 species
CCAAGGAGUCUAGCAUGUGCGCGAGUCACGGGGUCUCUCGAAACCCAAGGGCGCAAUGAAAGUGAAGGCCGCCUCCGGCUGGCCCAGGCAAGAUCCCGAGUCGUUCGCGACGAGGGCGCACUGCCGGCCCGUCUCGCUGGCAUCGACCACGAGGCGGAGCAAGAGCGCACACGCUGGGACCCGAAAGAUGGUGAACUAUGCCUGAGUAGGACGAAGUCAGGGGAAACUCUGAUGGAGGUCCGUAGCGAUUCUGACGUGCAAAUCGAUCGUCAAACUUGGGUAUAGGGGCGAAAGACUAAUCGAACCAUCUA